AGGUAAGCUACUAAGAGCGAAUGGUGGAUGCCUUGACUGGUAAAGGCGAUGAAGGACGUACUAGACUGCGAUAAGCUACGGGGAGCUGUCAAGAAGCUUUGAUCCGUAGAUUUCCGAAUGGGGCAACCCAAUGUAUAGAGAUAUACAUUACCUAUAUAGGAGCGAACGAGGGGAAUUGAAACAUCUUAGUACCCUCAGGAAAAGAAAUCAAUAGAGAUUGCGUCAGUAGCGGCGAGCGAAAGCGCAAGAGGGCAAACCCAGUGCUUGCACUGGGGGUUGUAGGACUGCAAUGUGCAAGAGGUGAGUUUAGCAGAACAUUCUGGAAAGUAUAGCCAUAGAGGGUGAUAGUCCCGUAUGCGAAAAACAAACCUUAGCUAGCAGUAUCCUGAGUAGGGCGGGACACGAGAAAUCCUGUCUGAAGCUGGGUCGACCACGAUCCAACCCUAAAUACUAAUACCAGAUCGAUAGUGCACAAGUACCGUGAGGGAAAGGUGAAAAGAACUGAGGUGAUCAGAGUGAAAUAGAACCUGAAACCAUUUGCUUACAAUCAUUCAGAGCCCUAUGUAGCAAUACAGGGUGAUGGACUGCCUUUUGCAUAAUGAGCCUGCGAGUUGUGGUGUCUGGCAAGGUUAAGCAAACGCGAAGCCGUAGCGAAAGCGAGUCUGAAUAGGGCGCUUAGUCAGAUGCUGCAGACCCGAAACGAAGUGAUCUAUCCAUGAGCAAGUUGAAGCUAGUGUAAGAACUAGUGGAGGACUGAACCCAUAGGCGUUGAAAAGCCCCGGGAUGACUUGUGGAUAGGGGUGAAAGGCCAAUCAAACUUCGUGAUAGCUGGUUCUCUCCGAAAUAUAUUUAGGUAUAGCGUUGUGUCGUAAUAUAAGGGGGUAGAGCACUGAAUGGGCUAGGGCAUACACCAAUGUACCAAACCCUAUCAAACUCCGAAUACCUUAUAUGUAAUCACAGCAGUCAGGCGGCGAGUGAUAAAAUCCGUCGUCAAGAGGGAAACAACCCAGACUACCAGCUAAGGUCCCUAAAUCUUACUUAAGUGGAAAACGAUGUGAAGUUACUUAAACAACCAGGAGGUUGGCUUAGAAGCAGCCAUCCUUUAAAGAAAGCGUAAUAGCUCACUGGUCUAGUGAUUUUGCGCGGAAAAUAUAACGGGGCUAAAGU
rnacentral:rRNA from 1 species